rnacentral:rRNA from 1 species
CACGUAGGGGGCGAGCGUUGUCCGGAUUUAUUGGGCGUAAAGAGCUCGUAGGCGGUUAGACAAGUCGGGUGUGAAAGCUCGAGGCUCAACCUCGAGACGCCACUCGAUACUGUUUUGACUGGGAGUCCGGUAGAGGAGUGCGGAAUUCCUGGUGUAGCGGUGAAAUGCGCAGAUAUCAGGAGGAACACCAACGGCGAAGGCAGCACUCUGGGCCGGUACUGACGCUGAGGCGCGAAAGCGUGGGUAGCAAACAGG